rnacentral:snRNA from 1 species
AUACCUUUCUCGGCCUUUUGGCUAAGAUCAAGUGUAGUAUCUGUUCUUAUCAGUUUAAUAUCUGAUAUGUGGGCCAUCGGCUCACACGAUAUUAAAUUCAUUUUUUUAGGGAGAGGGCCCACUUAGGCAGCUUGCUGCUUCGGGCCUUCAAGCGUUGCCUGUGUGUUGCACUACUGCAUGGGUCUGGCGCACCCCAC